rnacentral:rRNA from 1 species
UAAUACAGAGGGGCGAAGACGUUGUUCGGAGGUUACUGGGCGUAAAGACGCACGCAGGCGGUUGUGCAAGUAGGGAGUGUGAAACCAACCGUGCUUAACACGGUGACGCCAUGCCAAACUAGCACGACUCGAGUGGUGGAGAGGUUGUUCGAAUUGCCGGUGUAGUGGUGAAAUGCGUAGAGAUCGGCAGGAAGACCAAGGGCGAAAGCAGACAACUGGCCACCAACUGACGCUCAGGUGCGAAAGCGUGGGGAGCGAACUGGAUUAGAUACCCAGGUAGUCCACGCUGUAAACGAUGUAUGCUCGGUAUUUGUGCUGUUACGGCAUGGGUACCUCAGGAAACCCGGUAAGCAUACCGCCUGGGAAGUACGAACGCAAGUUUAAAACUCAAAGGAAUUGACGGGGCCCCGCACAAGCAGCGGAGCGUGUGGUUUAAUUCGAUGCAACACGAAGAACCUUACCUAGGUUUGACAUAGAUCUGCGAGCCCCCAGAGAU